UACGUAGGGGGCAAGCGUUGUCCGGAAUCAUUGGGCGUAAAGCGCGUGUAGGCGGUCCGAUAAGUCCGCUGUGAAAGUCGGGGGGCUCAACCCUCGGAUGCCGGUGGAUACUGUCGGGCUUGAGUACGGAAGAGGCGAGUGGAAUUCCUGGUGUAGCGGUGAAAUGCGCAGAUAUCAGGAGGAACACCAAUUGCGAAGGCAGCUCGCUGGGACGUUACUGACGCUGAGACGCGAAAGCGUGGGGAGCAAACAGG
rnacentral:rRNA from 1 species